GACGGGGGAUGCAAGUGUUAUCCGGAAUCACUGGGCGUAAAAGCGUCUGUAGGUGGUCAAAUAAGUCAACUGUUAAAUCUUGAGGCUCAACCUCAAAAUCGCAGUCGAAACUAUUAGACUAGAGUAUAGUAGGGGUAAAGGGAAUUUCCAGUGGAGCGGUGAAAUGCGUAGAUAUUGGAAAGAACACCGAUGGCGAAGGCACCUUACUGGGCUAUUACUAACACUCAGAGACGAAAGCUAAGGGUAGCAAAUGGG
rnacentral:rRNA from 1 species